ensembl:miRNA
GACAGUACAAAUAAUACCACAGUGGGUGUACCUCAUGUGUGUACACCCUGUUAUAUUAUUUGUAAUAUC